CAAGCGAAAGCGUUAAGUAUUCCACCUGGGGAGUACGCCGGCAACGGUGAAACUCAAAGGAAUUGACGGGGGCCCGCACAAGCGGAGGAACAUGUGGUUUAAUUCGAUGAUACGCGAGGAACCUUACCCGGGCUUGAACUCAGGGGGACGACGGCAGAGACGCCGUUUUCUUCGGACCCCCUGGGAGGUGCUGCAUGGUUGUCGUCAGCUCGUGCCGUGAGGUGUCGGCUUAAGUGCCAUAACGAGCGCAACCCUCAUUCUCGUUUGCCAUCGGGUAAUGCCGGGCACUCCGGGAAUACUGCCAUCGUAAGAUGUGAGGAAGGUGGGGAUGACGUCAAAUCAGCACGGCCCUUACGUCCGGGGCUACACACGUGUUACAAUGGGCGGUACAGAGGGCCGCGACUACGCGAGUGGGAGCCAAUCCUCAAAGCCGUUCUCAGUUCGGACUGGAGUCUGCAACCCGACUCCACGAAGCUGGAUUCGCUAGUAAUCGCGCAUCAGCCAUGGCGCGGUGAAUACGUUCCCGGGCCUUGCACUCACCGCCCGUC
rnacentral:rRNA from 1 species